GACGAACGCUGGCGGCGUGCUUAACACAUGCAAGUCGAACGCUGAAGCUCAGCUUUUGUUGGGUGGAUGAGUGGCGAACGGGUGAGUAACACGUGAGUAACCUGCCUCCUUCUUUGGGAUAACGCCCGGAAACGGGUGCUAAUACUGGAUAUUCACUGGUCUUCGCAUGGGGGUUGGUGGAAAGGGUUUUUCUGGUGGGGGAUGGGCUCGCGGCCUAUCAGCUUGUUGGUGGGGUGAUGGCCUACCAAGGCUUUGACGGGUAGCCGGCCUGAGAGGGUGACCGGUCACAUUGGGACUGAGAUACGGCCCAGACUCCUACGGGAGGCAGCAGUGGGGAAUAUUGCACAAUGGGCACAAGCCUGAUGCAGCGACGCCGCGUGAGGGAUGGAGGCCUUCGGGUUGUGAACCUCUUUCGCUCAUGGUCAAGCCGCAACAAUGGUUGUGGUGAGGGUAGUGGGUAAAGAAGCGCCGGCUAACUACGUG
rnacentral:rRNA from 1 species